AUUGAACGCUGGCGGCAGGCCUAACACAUGCAAGUCGAACGAGUGGCGGACGGGUGAGUAAUGUCUGGGAAACUGCCUGAUGGAGGGGGAUAACUACUGGAAACGGUAGCUAAUACCGCAUACCAUCAGAUGUGCCCAGAUGGGAUUAGCUAGUAGGUGGGGUAAUGGCUCACCUAGGCGACGAUCCCUAGCUGGUCUGAGAGGAUGACCAGCCAGACUGGAACUGAGACACGGCCCAGACUCCUACGGGAGGCAGCAGUGGGGAAUAUUGGACAAUGGGGGCAAGCCUGAUGCAGCCAUGCCGCGGGUGUGAAGAAGGCUUUCGGGUUGUAAAGUACUUUCAGCGAGGAGGCGUUACUCGCAGAAGAAGCAACGGCUAACUCCGUGCCAGCAGCCGCGGUAAUUC
rnacentral:rRNA from 1 species